AGUCCUUCACGGGAUUCAUUGAAAAAGCAUUCACACAAUGCGUACGUGUCGUUUCGAGCAUUCAUCACAUUUUUGAUCACUUUUACUUUUAUAUCCUUUCGUAACACACACAGUUUCAGCGCAGAAAAGGAUUUUCCAACGCUGCCGCAGCCGCGGAGCCUGCAAAAGGAACACAAACAGUUUCACUGCACAAGAAGAUUUUCCAACGUCACCGCCACAGCAGAGCUUGCAAAAAGGUGAAAUUGCAAUAGAAAAUAACACAGCCGGGAUAAUGGAGAAUAGACCAAAUAAAAACAAACGGAAAGAUGAAGGAAAAAAUUCAUCUAGUCAAUUGACAGAGUAUAAGAAGAAGAGAUUUUUUUAUGUUUAUGGCAACUACCACAGUUACUAUAAUUACCGUAUUGAUCAGGCUUUGGAUGAAGACCCAAGGAUGAAGGUCUUAAGGAAGGAGUGGUUUGAAGGCAAGAACUGCCUAGAUAUUGGCUGCAAUGAGGGUUUCAUCACAAUCAGCAUUGCACAAAAGUUUGCAUGCAAAAGUAUUGUCGGCAUAGAUAUUGAUGACAGGCUUAUUGGAAAAGCAAGAAGUCACCUCAAAACAAUUGCUGGUGUUAAGGAAGCCAUUGAAAGAAAUAAACAAUCUGCAGAAGAAAAGUGCAAAGUAAAUGCAGAUGAAGGCGAAGAUAUAAACCUGAGAGAACAGUCAUAUGAAGGUGAUGAUAGAAUUAAUGAAUUGGAAAGCCUAGACAGAAGGGAGCAAUCGUAUGAAGAUGAUCACAGAGAAAAUAGAUUUCAGGUUAUUGGUAGUAUGAAGCAGUUUUCCAAAGUUGAAGAAAGUACAAAUAAUUCGGAAAUCAUAUGCAAGAAAUCUGUCAGAGAUAGAAUAAGUGUGUUAUCACGGGACUGUGUAUCAGAUAAUGUGGAAGGAAGAGUCGGAGAUCAGUGUUUGCUUGAAAGAGUUUGCUUCAGAACUGAAAACUUCAUUCAGGAAUCCUAUUCUGAGUUUGAUGCAAUGUAUGAUACAGUGCUCUGCUUAAGUGUUACCAAAUGGGUCCACCUAAAUUGGGGCGAUACAGGUUUAAUUGAUCUAUUUGCAAAGAUUUGGCAAGUUCUUAGGCCAGGUGGGAUUUUGAUUUUAGAGCCUCAACCAUGGAAAUCCUAUGGAAAAAUGCACCUCGUCUCUGAGGCCGCAGCAGAGAAUUUCCACAAUAUUAUUUAUAGGCCACACACUUUUAGGGAUAUUCUACUUGAUAAGAUUGGUUUCAGAUCAAUGGAAAGAAUCAGUGCACAUGUACCGGAUAGUACAGCUGGAUUUAACAGGCCAAUUUAUAUGCUUGAAAAAUGAAUCAAAGGUUUUGACUGAAGUGUCAUGCUGCAGAAAAUCUCAUGUUAACUUUUUCCGAGAGUAAAAUCACAGGUUAGCAACUAGGGUAAGGCGUGCAUACUUAAGCCAGAGGCCAACAAAGACAUACUGCCUACGAGGAGAGAGAAAAGCACCAAGUAAAUCUCCACUUCAAAUGUUGGAUUAAAGACACGUUAUUUGGAUAAUAUUUUUGUAUUAUUUUACAUUUGCAUGGAAGUGUAGGGGCAAGACCAAUAGUGGCCUAUGGGAUUGUAAAGAGCACACUAGAAAGUGACGUUGUGAGUGUCAAGACACCUCCAGUUAAGUAUACAUGAGAGAUGAAUGGAAUCAAGGUGAAUGAGAAAAUCUGUAUGAACGCAAGCAUAUUAGAGUCAAAGCCAAGCUCAAAUCCAUGACUUGGGAGUAAUGAGGAAGCUCAAGAAGAGUCUCACAAAGGAGGCAAAUCUUCUUGUUAUGAAGUAUUUCUGGCAUUGAAAAUUGCAAAUAAAAGUGUUAAUCUAUGGGGCAAGUGUAAGGGAACGUUUAGAUGUAUGAUACCUCAUGAGCCUAGUCUCAAAGGUAGGGGAGAGGGCCCAAUAAUUGUGUGAGCUAACUUUGCAAGCAUGUAGUGGUUACAUGGAAUAUUGUGGGACUUCCGUUUUAUUUUUUAAAUGUGAAAUGGGCUCUUACCUAUUUACAACUAAGAUUUGUGGGUGUGACUCAUCACACAAUUUGUCAUAUUAGCAGGUCUUGUGUUAAGUGUCCUAAAAGUGAUUUUUUAAAGAUUCAACCAAAACUUAAUCAUGGAAUCUCUAGUACUCGAACAUUAAA